UACGGGGGGGGCAAGCGUUGUUCGGAAUUACUGGGCGUAAAGGGCGCGUAGGCGGUUUGCUAAGUUGAAUGUGAAAACUCUGGGCUUAACCCAGAGCCUGCAUUCAAUACUGGCAGGCUGGAGUUCUGGAGGGGAUAGCGGAAUUCCCGGUGUAGCGGUGAAAUGCGUAGAUAUCGGGAGGAACAUCAGUGGCGAAGGCGGCCCUCUGGUCCAGUACUGACACUCAAGUGCGAAAGCGUGGGGAGCAAACAGG
rnacentral:rRNA from 1 species